UACGGGGGGGGGCAAGCGUUGUUCGGAAUUACUGGGCGUAAAGGGCGCGUAGGCGGUCUUGUAAGUCUUGUGUGAAAUCCCUCGGCUUAACUGAGGAACUGCACGGGAUACUGCAUGACUUGAGAUCGGGGAGAGGGGAAGCGGAAUUCCGGGGUGUAGCGGUGAAAAUGCGUAGAUAUCCGGAGGAACACCGGUGGCGAAGGCGGCU
rnacentral:rRNA from 1 species